GACGAACGCUGGCGGCGUGCCUAAUACAUGCAAGUCGAACGAACCGCGACUAGGUGCUUGCACUUGGUCAAGGUGAGUGGCGAACGGGUGAGUAACACGUGGGUAACCUACCUCAUAGUGGGGGAUAACAGUCGGAAACGACUGCUAAUACCGCAUAGGGCAUGGGAUCACAUGAUUCUGUGAGGAAAGGUGGCGCAAGCUAUCGCUAAGAGAUGGACCCGCGGUGCAUUAGCUAGUUGGUAGGGUAACGGCCUACCAAGGCGAUGAUGCAUAGCCGACCUGAGAGGGUGAUCGGCCACAUUGGGACUGAGACACGGCCCAAACUCCUACGGGAGGCAGCAGUAGGGAAUCUUCCGCAAUGGACGCAAGUCUGACGGAGCAACGCCGCGUGAGUGAAGAAGGUCUUCGGAUCGUAAAGCUCUGUUGUUAGAGAAGAACAGCGCAUAGAGUAACUGUUAUGCGUGUGACGGUAUCUAACCAGAAAGCCACGGCUAACUACGUG
rnacentral:rRNA from 1 species